GUUAGUGAAUUAAUAGAUGGAAUAACUAUGCAAUGGAGGCAAGAUGUGAUUCAAAAGUACUUUUAUGAUAUGGAUGCUCAGGAAUCAAAUACAAGAUUGGCUUGAUGGCAAAGUAGAGAGCUCGGACACUGAAGGAGCUAAAAAAAGAUGGAAAUUAUUCUAGAAGGUCAAGGAAACUUUAUCGGCAAAAGAAUUUCAGAAACUUCUAAUCAUAUGUUGGGCAAUCUGGAGGGCACGAAGAAUGGCAUUACAUGAGG